GGGUAGGCGUAGCGAAAGCGAGUCUUAAUAGGGCGUUUAGUCGCUGGGUAUAGACCCGAAACCGGGCGAUCUAUCCAUGAGCAGGUUGAAGGUUAGGUAACACUGACUGGAGGACCGAACCCACUCCCGUUGAAAAGGUAGGGGAUGACUUGUGGAUCGGAGUGAAAGGCUAAUCAAGCUCGGAGAUAGCUGGUUCUCCUCGAAAGCUAUUUAGGUAGCGCCUCAUGUAUCACUCUGGGGGGUAGAGCACUGUUUCGGCUAGGGGGUCAUCCCGACUUACCAAACCGAUGCAAACUCCGAAUACCCAGAAGUGCCGAGCAUGGGAGACACACGGCGGGUGCUAACGUCCGUCGUGAAAAGGGAAACAACCCAGACCGCCAGCUAAGGUCCCAAAGUUGUGGUUAAGUGGUAAACGAUGUGGGAAGGCUUAGACAGCUAGGAGGUUGGCUUAGAAGCAGCCACCCUUUAAAGAAAGCGUAAUAGCUCACUAGUCGAGUCGGCCUGCGCGGAAGAUGUAACGGGGCUCAAACCACACACCGAAGCUGCGGGUGUCACGUAAGUGACGCGGUAGAGGAGCGUUCUGUAAGCCUGUGAAGGUGAGUUGAGAAGCUUGCUGGAGGUAUCAGAAGUGCGAAUGCUGACAUGAGUAACGACAAUGGGUGUGAAAAACACCCACGCCGAAAGACCAAGGGUUCCUGCGCAACGUUAAUCGACGCAGGGUUAGUCGGUUCCUAAGGCGAGGCUGAAAAGCGUAGUCGAUGGGAAACAGGUUAAUAUUCCUGUACUUCUGGUUACUGCGAUGGAGGGACGGAGAAGGCUAGGCCAGCUUGGCGUUGGUUGUCCAAGUUUAAGGUGGUAGGCUGAAAUCUUAGGUAAAUCCGGGGUUUCAAGGCCGAGAGCUGAUGACGAGUCGUCUUUUAGAUGACGAAGUGGUUGAUGCCAUGCUUCCAAGAAAAGCUUCUAAGCUUCAGGUAACCAGGAACCGUACCCCAAACCGACACAGGUGGUCGGGUAGAGAAUACCAAGGCGCUUGAGAGAACUCGGGUGAAGGAACUAGGCAAAAUGGCACCGUAACUUCGGGAGAAGGUGCGCCGGCUAGGGUGAAGGAUUUACUCCGUAAGCUCUGGCUGGUCGAAGAUACCAGGCCGCUGCGACUGUUUAUUAAAAACACAGCACUCUGCAAACACGAAAGUGGACGUAUAGGGUGUGACGCCUGCCCGGUGCCGGAAGGUUAAUUGAUGGGGUUAGCGCAAGCGAAGCUCUUGAUCGAAGCCCCGGUAAACGGCGGCCGUAACUAUAACGGUCCUAAGGUAGCGAAAUUCCUUGUCGGGUAAGUUCCGACCUGCACGAAUGGCGUAACGAUGGCGGCGCUGUCUCCACCCGAGACUCAGUGAAAUUGAAAUCGCUGUGAAGAUGCAGUGUAUCCGCGGCUAGACGGAAAGACCCCGUGAACCUUUACUGUAGCUUUGCACUGGACUUUGAGCCUGCUUGUGUAGGAUAGGUGGGAGGCUUUGAAGCGUGGACGCCAGUUCGCGUGGAGCCAUCCUUGAAAUACCACCCUGGCAUGCUUGAGGUUCUAACUCUGGUCCGUAAUCCGGAUCGAGGACAGUGUAUGGU
rnacentral:rRNA from 1 species